rnacentral:rRNA from 1 species
CGAAUCUCAUCAAACCCAGCCUCAGUUCAGAUUGCUCUCUGCAACUCGAGAGCAUGAAGGAGGAAUCGCUAGUAAUCGCAGGUCAGCAUACUGCGGUGAAUUCGUUCCCGGGCCUUGUACACACCGCCCGUCACACCAUGGAAGCUGGUCACGCCCGAAGUAGUUACCCUAACUUUCGGGAGGGGGACUCCUAAGGCAGGGCUAGUGACUGGGGUGAAGUCGUAACAAGGUAGCCGUACCGGAAGGUGUGGCUGGAUCACCUCCUUAAAGGGAGACC